rnacentral:snRNA from 1 species
GUCGACGUACUUCAGU